rnacentral:lncRNA from 1 species
GUCAGGUGCCUGCGAGUUCCCCCCGCCCCUGGUCUCCGCCCAUACCAGGCGCGUCAUCCACCUUGAUCUUCAUGGUGCUGGGAGCCAGAGCUGUGAUCUCCUUCUGCAUGCGGUCAGCGAUACCGGGGUACAUGGUAGUGCCCCCUGACAUGACGUUGUUGGCGUACAGGUCCUUCCUGAUGUCGAUGUCGCACUUCAUGAUGCUGUUGUAGGUGGUCUCAUGGAUCCCCGCAGACUCCAUACCUGGUGGCCCGGGGGAGAGGCAGUGUGAGCAACCACAGAGUCAGACUAAGGGCACCGGCGGGAGGAGACCCCGUACUCUGAGGCGUGGGAUGAGGGAAAAUUGAUUCCGGCAAACCAGCGGAGCCGGAGGCUCACCGAUAA